ACACAGCUGGUGGUCUUCUCAAGCUGUCUCUGGGGGCUCUUCUCUGCCCCUUUUUAUCCUGUGAAGAUCUUCUUCCCUACUGAGUAUGGAAAAUUCGUGGAUUAUUUUCUGGAAAGACUUGCUAAGAGGACAUAUGGAUCCUGGGAAGAAGGAUCUUUCAGUGAUGUCACCACCUUCCAAGAAUUAUCAGGUGCUGCAUACAUCACAGAUGCAACUUGAGAAUAAAGUGCAUGCAAAGUUUUUGCAUGAGUCUAUAUCACAGUGUUGGGUGUUCGGUGACGGAACCAGAUUGACUGUCCUAGGCCAGCCCAAAGCUACACCCUCAGUCACCCUGUUUCCUCCUUCCUCUGAAGAGCUCAAGACUAACAAGGCCACACUGGUGUGUACGAUGACUGAUUUCUACCCGGGUGUUGUGACGGUGGUCUGGAAGGCAGAUGGUACCCCUGUCACUCAGGGUACAGAGACAACCCAGCCUUCCAAACAGAGCAACAACAAGUACAUGGCUAGCAGCUACCUGACCUUGACAGCAAACGCAUGGGAAACUCAUAGCAAAUACAGCUGCCAAGUCACUCAUGAAGGUAACACUGUGGAGAAGAGUUUGUCCCGUGCUGAGUGUUCCUAGGUCAGCUGACCUUCAUCUUACUCACUGAGGCUGAGAUCAGAAACAUGCACAAGUGGAUCCUUGGUGAUUUUGCCUACCAUAGCCCUUCUCUUAAUCCUCAAAGCGCACAAUAAAAUGUUCAUUCACAACCUGUUA